rnacentral:rRNA from 1 species
AUACGGAGGAUGCGAGCGUUAUCCGGAUUUAUUGGGUUUAAAGGGCGCGUAGGUGGGAUAUUAAGUCAGCUGUGAAAGUUUGGGGCUCAACAUUAAAAUUGCAGUUGAUACUGGUUUCCUUGAGUACGGUACAGGUGGGCGGAAUUCGUGGUGUAGCGGUGAAAUGCUUAGAUAUCACGAAGAACUCCGAUCGCGAAGGCAGCUCACCGGGCCGGAACUGACACUGAUGCUCGAAAGUGCGGGUAUCAAACAGGAUUAGAUACCCUGGUAGUCCGCACAGUAAACGAUGAAUACUCGCUGUUUGCGAUACACGGUAAGCGGCCAAGCGAAAGCGUUAAGUAUUCCACCUGGGGAGUACGCCGGCAACGGUGAAACUCAAAUGAAUUGGCGGGG